AGGACGAACGCUGGCGGCGUGCUUAACACAUGCAAGUCGAGCGGAAAGGCCCUUCGGGGUACUCGAGCGGCGAACGGGUGAGUAACACGUGACUAACCUACCCUUGAGUGGGGGAUAACCUAGGGAAACCUGGGCUAAUACCGCAUAAUACCUACGGGUCAAAGGAGCAAUUCGCUUUAGGAGGGGGUCGCGGCAGAUUAGUUAGUUGGCGGGGUAAUGGCCCACCAAGACAGUGAUCUGUAUCCGGCCUGAGAGGGCGCACGGACACACUGGAACUGAAACACGGUCCAGACUCCUACGGGAGGCAGCAGUGGGGAAUUUUGCGCAAUGGGGGAAACCCUGACGCAGCAACGCCGCGUGGAGGAUGAAGCCCCUUGGGGCGUAAACUCCUUCGAUCGGGAAGAUAAUGACGGUACCGGAAGAAGAAGCCCCGGCUAACUUCGUGCCAGCAGCCGC
rnacentral:rRNA from 1 species